GGGGUUCUAAGUUAAAACAAUAAUACUCGUAUUUAGUAUAAAUAUAAUUUACUACUUUCCCAACUGCUAUUUUUAUAAGAAAACUGGGAUCUAUCAACUAUCUUUAAAGACUUUCAUGAAAUUUCUGUAAUGGUGCCAACAAUAAUAUAAUAUAGCAUCUUCAAGGUAUGCAAUAUGUACAAAGUUAGAAGAGGUGCAGUUAAAAUAAAAUAUUCAGUAACAUGAGGUUAUUUGAUACCUACAUUGAUCAAAAUGGCUUAACACCUGUAUUUUCCCUUCAAAAAGCUUAUAACUAUUUAAACGUAUAAUAAUUGAAAAAAAAAUGGCAUGCCUAACUAUUAAGAAGACACAUUUUUUUUUUAACUAGCUGGUGCUUACACUAGCAUGGACAUAUAACAUAGCAUAGAAUCUUAAUGAAUAGAUCCCAAAAUGGAUCUAAUGUUAGGGUUCGUGUCACAGGCUAUGUUUAAAAUGUUUUUGGAAAGUUUUGAAAGCACAUUGGUAAACAGAUACCCGUGCACUUCUAACAAUUGACCUCCAGCACAGAUUUUUUUUAGGUUGAUAGCAAACCUUAAAUGGUCCUGAUCCAAAAGGUUUUAUUGAUUAUUGUGUAUAAAUUAAGUGAGAUGUUGAAAUGAUUGUUUUCCUUCUUCUGGCCAAAACCUCUCCAAGAACCCAUCUGUUUUGACACAAGAAUGAAUUUACUAUAAUGUACAUCUGAUAUAUGAUUCUCAGUUUGUAGAUUCAUGUGUUCACUAAAGAUCACAACAUGCCUUGCUUGGCUUGUGAAUUGCAGGUGCUAAAAUCAAGGCAUAAGGCAUUGCUGGGUUGCUCACUUUGGAGGAAAUGUAAAAGUGUGUCAGCAUUGAGUGUCCUAACAUUUCAGCUCAUUUGAUAGCUUGCUACCGAUUUACAACUCUAGUUAUCUAUAGGGGAAAUAAAUCACCAGAUGUCCAGAUGCUGGGUAGUCUUACAUGCACCUGAUGUCUGCUACACUCUAGCAAACUCUCAAUACCUAAAACAAAUUGCCUUUAGUGACCUAAGUGUCAUAUAAUAACAUGAAACUUGCGGAACUUACUUGGACUGAAAGUUAAUUAACUUUUUACACCUGAGAACAUCACAUGCAAUGUAUGUUU